GCAGCAGGCUGUUCCAUCGUGGCGUUUAAUACGCUAAGGAAAGUCCGGGCAACACAGAGCACCAUGCUUCCUAACGGGAAGAUAUCCGCGAGGGUAUAGCAGCGUAACAGAAAAUAACCGUCGCCUGUGGGAAACCUUGGGCGAUAAGGGUGAAAAGGCGAGGUAAGAGCUCACCGGUUUUGAUGGCGACAUUCGGAACCGUACGCCUUAUGGGUUGAAAGACCAUGUACACCGGCUUUUAAGGAUUGCUCGUCCAAUGCCGGGGGGUAGGUCGUUAGAGCCUUGCAGCAAUGCAGGGUCGAGAUAAAUGAUGGAAACCGUUUUAUUUUCUUUUGCAGAAAUCAAAAUGGCACAGAAUCCGGCUUACAGGCCCGCUGUUUAC
rnacentral:RNase_P_RNA from 1 species